CAUGAAAGAAUGAUGAGUAA
rnacentral:miRNA from 1 species